rnacentral:lncRNA from 1 species
CACGCAGACGUCAUGAAUUUCGGAAGGAAACGUUAAAAAUGCAACGUUUUCUUUGUCCUUACCAAAUUGUUUGGUGCACAGGGCUUGUAGAAAGGACCUGGGUGCCAACGAAAGCUGUGAUGAGGGUUUUGUGCCCUCAGCAUUCAUCUCACAAACACAGACAUAAGAGAAAUGUACCUGGUCUAACGGAAGUGGCAGAGCCCAGUUCGCCCUGAUUCAAUCCCACACAUCCACAUCCACCUCUGGAGAGACUGUUGCUGCUUGCUGCUGUCCACUGCUGGUAAAAAACGGCAGUACAACACCCUACAGUCCGCCAAGACCAAUUUGCAAAUCCUACUACUGUGAAGGCUUGGCUCAUGAAUAUUAAUCAGGUACCGUGACGUUCGGAGAGCUGAUUGGGUGAAAAGCAGACGUUGAAUAAAGCAUGUGUAAACCAGUUUCCUCUUCAGAAUGAGCAGCAUGUAAAGAUUGUAGCCAGUGACAGACAAAAUCUUAUCGCUGAGCCGCAGCCUGAAGAGUAGCAAUAGGACAAGCCUGAAGGCUCUCAGAAGACAUCUUCAUUACUGAAUAGAAGAGUUAUGAGAGAUCUUCAGCCUGCUGAUCAUCUCAGAAGAAUGAGAGUAAGGAAUGACAUUUGUCAUCUCCAGAACCCUCCUCUCCGGCAGCCUAAAACAAGCCCAUUACAGUCCUGCAGCUGCAGAACAAACCCUCCUCUCCUGCAGCCUAUGACAAGCCCAUUACAGUCCUACAGCCGCGGGACACGGGUGAACAACAAUGGAGAUUUUGCAAGGCACUGAUGAAGAACCUGA